rnacentral:lncRNA from 1 species
UGGCCUCCUCACUCGGAUAAUUCCCCCACUGCACAUUGACACUUGUACAUGUUUUAUUUCAGAUACGAUGCUGCAUUGAUUGAUCAAUUUUUUUUCUUCCUUCCCCAAAUCGAUUAUGCAAAUCGUGUGGUGUCGCUCGUCAACUUCUCCAAGACGCAUCAUCCCCAAAUCGUUUUUUUUUGUAAACUGAUGUGAAUCGAUUUUCCCUAAAAGCGUCGUCCCCAAAUCGGUUUUUUGCAACUCGAUUUCUUAAAAACUGAAGAUGUACUCUGGAAUUAGUUUUGAAAUUUGAAGGUAUAGUCUGAAAAAAAAUUCCUCUCUAAAUUUUCUACUACAGACUUCAUUUCUUGCCGUUCUUGCAUCUAGUGUUCAAAAUAAUUUUCAAGAUUGAAGAUAGUUUCUUGCAGAGCAUCUACAAACAUUUUUCACAUUGCAAAUAUAUUGGAUCAGCAAUCUUCUUGGAUCAUUUUUUUUUUCAUUUCCAGAUUUGAAGGACGAGUUUGGAUUUGUUUUUUUUUCUGACGGUUAAUUGCAGACUCCCGAAGUGCAAUGUUUAGACGAUUGUAGAUUGUGUUAUGCUUACAGAAUGGCUGAUCGCAGAAAUUCAAAGAGUACUGGUCCGGCGAAUACUGUUUCAAUUAACUAUAAUCAUUCUUGCCUCCUCCUUAUCAAAUAACUUGUUUUGCUCUCAAAUUGAUCACUGGAUCAGGAUUCCUGCAUGGCCUCUUGAGAAAGCAGACACAUAUUUGUUUUAGCGAGCUAAGUUCGAAAAGAUUUUGAAUGUCAAUCAUCUAUUGGAUGUUAUUGAUCCUUCUCAACCAAUUCCCGCUAAGAAGAAGGAUGAUGGCUCUUUCAAUCCAGAAUAUUUUGCUUGGAAAGAGAAUAAUUGAGUGAUAUUAGGUUGGAUACAGUCAUUUAUAGGACCAUCUAUGUUUUCGUUUGUGAUGAAUCACAAGUCGACACGUGAUUCUUUGGUUAAUGCUUGAGACGCAUUUGUCACCUCGUAAGAUGUGCAAUACUCAGAUGGUUAGAGACCAACUUAGAGACAUCAAGAAAUCUGACUCUGAAUCAACGACAGAUUAUAUGUUAUAAGAGUUCGUGCAUUGAUUGAUUGUUUGUCGACUAUAUGUUUUAAUAUUAUUUUAUUAUGAUUAGGGGAUAUUAACAAUUAACCCCUAUUUAAGUUGAUUUGGUAAGUAGCUAUAAUUUAGGAUUUCCUUCUCGAUUCUAGUUGAUUGACAAUUAGCUAUAAUUUAAGAUAUCUUUCUUAUUUCAUUAAGAUAUGAUUUUAUUUGUAAAGCUAUAUAAAACCACG